UCGAGUCUAGAGGGAAAACAGACGAGGAGUCGCUGAGUCACAAUAUGACAUCAGAGCUGACAGGACAGGGGCAGUCACAGGGUGCUAUUGGAGGACAGGGCACCCGUAUCUUUCAUUUGGGUGCUGAGAAUAAUAUAAAAGAAAAAAAAAACCUGGAAUUCCAUGGAGACUAUCAGGGAACACUUCAAAGAAGACGCUGGCCCUUUUUGAGCUGUUCCCACUGCAGUGCUGCAUUAAAAAUCUGCUGACCACCUUCUGUCCCCCAUAUUUCCAAGGGCCAAGGGAACCCUGAGCAGCCAAGGCAGGGCCUGUUGGAGUAAGCCAUUCCCCAGGGCUUCUAGCUCUAGCAUUCCAACUCCACAGAACACCCAAGAAAGUAAGAGAAGUAGAGGAUAGAUCUCUCCUCGACGCAGCACCCACUCUGGCUCUUUCUACGAUUAAGGCUUUACUGAGAAAACAGGGACGUCUAGAUCUAAAUGCAAGAUUGGGGUCUUGGAAGCUACAGAGAAGACAAAGGAGCAGAAUUAGAGGAGUAAGGAAGUUCUUUGAAGAUUAUAUUCUGCCUAACUGCAAGGAGGUUAUGAAACCAACACAAAAUCACAGAAGAAGGAAACAAAAAGACUUUCUCAGAAUUGGAGCAUCUCUACUUGCACUUUCUCCUGGGAUGUAUGCUCCCAUCUUUGCCUGGCUCACUAGAACCAUAAGGGGAAUUUGGUUACCCCACUUUUGAGGAACUGUAGACCUCUCUAGAGAGGAUGUCAGAAGAGGUCUUUGCCUGGCAGGGCAGAUGCAUAGUUUAUGUUUUGGCAAGAGACUCCCCCACCUCUUGGCUUAACAGUAAAGUCAUUAGGUCUUGUGACUAGGUCUGAGUAUCUCACCUACUAGGUAGGAUGUCUAUGGUUGAGGUGAAAGG